rnacentral:rRNA from 1 species
UGCAAGUCGAGCGGACUUGAUGGAGCUUGCUCCAUCAAGUUAGCGGCGGACGGGUGAGUAACACGUGGGCAACCUGCCUGUAAGACUGGGAUAACUCCGGGAAACCGGAGCUAAUACCGGAUAGUAUCUUGAACCGCAUGGUUCAAGUUGGAAAGACGGUUUCGGCUGUCACUUACAGAUGGGCCCGCGGCGCAUUAGCUAGUUGGUGAGGUAAUGGCUCACCAAGGCAACGAUGCGUAGCCGACCUGAGAGGGUGAUCGGCCACACUGGGACUGAGACACGGCCCAGACUCCUACGGGAGGCAGCAGUAGGGAAUCUUCCGCAAUGGACGAAAGUCUGACGGAGCAACGCCGCGUGAGUGAUGAAGGUUUUCGGAUCGUAAAACUCUGUUGUUAGGGAAGAACAAGUGCGAGAGUAACUGCUCGCACCUUGACGGUACCUAACCAGAAAGCCACGGCUAACUACGUGCCAGCAGCCGCGGUAAUACGUAGGUGGCAAGCGUUGUCCGGAAUUAUUGGGCGUAAAGCGCGCGCAGGCGGUUUCUUAAGUCUGAUGUGAAAGCCCCCGGCUCAACCGGGGAGGGUCAUUGGAAACUGGGAAACUUGAGUGCAGAAGAGGAGAGUGGAAUUCCACGUGUAGCGGUGAAAUGCGUAGAGAUGUGGAGGAACACCAGUGGCGAAGGCGACUCUCUGGUCUGUAACUGACGCUGAGGCGCGAAAGCGUGGGGAGCGAACAGGAUUAGAUACCCUGGUAGUCCACGCCGUAAACGAUGAGUGCUAAGUGUUAGAGGGUUUCCGCCCUUUAGUGCUGCAGCUAACGCAUUAAGCACUCCGCCUGGGGAGUACGGUCGCAAGACUGAAACUCAAAGGAAUUGACGGGGGCCCGCACAAGCGGUGGAGCAUGUGGUUUAAUUCGAAGCAACCCGAA